UAGGAUAAGCAAUAUAAAUCUGAGAUAGCC
rnacentral:piRNA from 1 species